rnacentral:misc_RNA from 1 species
UACUUAGUAGCUCAGUUAAGUGGGACUGAUGCUGCUCUGCUGAGUGUCUCUCAACGUUCCUUACCUCAAUUUGGAUUAUUAUGCAUCGUAGCAAUAAUAGCUGGAAUCAGAAUGUCUGAAGAGAUCCUUAGUGACAAUGAUCUUGGCGAAGAAGAGUUCAACAAUGGCGUUAGGGAAAUUACGAUUUUAGUUUUAAUGAGUUUAAUUCUCUACGCCGGAAGUUAUGUCUUUCUAUCCCUAUUUAAACGCCUAGAUAUUGAAGAAGAAUUUCUUCCUAAUUGUUGGGAUGAUCAAAUAGUUUAUAAAACAAGCUUUUUUUUGUGUGCAUUCUCCAUGGCUGUUAGUGUAGGAGCAGCGCUCUUACUACCUAUUUCUACAAUUUCAAAUGAAAUAUUGCACAAAUAUCCAAGUUCUUGGUAUAUUAAAUGGCUCAAUGCUUCUCUUAUCCAUGGAAUAUGGAAUUUAAUUUUUGUAUUAUCAAAUCUAUCACUAUUUGUUUGUCUACCAUUUGCAUAUUUAUUUUGCGAAUCUGAGGGAUUACAGUUUUUUGGGAAUAAAAAGGGAUUACUUGCUCGAGCCAAAGAAACCAUUGUUACAUUAAUCCUUUUUUCCUUGAUUAUUUUGGGAAUGAUGUACAUCAUAGCAGCUUUAUUGGAUCGAGACAAAGAUUCUAUUGAACGUAUUUUGAAUGUUUAUUCAUACUUACCUUUUUUGUACUCCUGUGUCUCCUUUUUGGGAGUAUUGAUGUUACUUAUUUGUACUCCUAUUGGAUUUGCUCGAUUAUUUACAAUCGUAGGAGAUCUUGUGAUAAAGCCUACUUUUAUGAGAAAUUUAGAAGAAGAAUUUUAUCAAGCCAAAUUUGAAGAAGAUUCUUUACGGCACAAAUUAAAUGUUCAUAUGCAACAAUUACAACUCCCAAUAGAUUCUCAAAGCAUUCCCUUAUCACCUCUACGUAAUACAACAGGAAACAGACUAAAAAAUGGACAGUUGAUGUCAUAUUAUCAACGGAACUUAUCUGCGAUUUCCGAUAAAAGAGAGAAUCUAGCUCAUGCUUGUAAUGCAAGAGUUUGGACACGAAUCCUUGGUUACCCUUUAAUUAUGAUCUCAUUAUUAUUGUUGACUUCCAUCUCGUUAAUAUGUGUUGUGAACAAUGUGGGUCAAAUUAUUGCUGGUUUUAGAUCUCUUCCACUCGGACAAAAUACAGUGGAUCUAGGAAUGACAUCUUUAUCAGCAUUAGGAGUGCUUGGCGUCGUUAUAGAAGUCUUACAAAUCGGAUACUUAUUUUUGACGUCACUUGUUGGUCUAUAUACAAUUCCACUUAUAAGACGAAUUCGCCCUGAAAUCGGAAAAACUAGUUUAACCCAUUUAAUUCUUAACUGCGGUCUUUGUGUAGUUCUAAGCUCUGCUCUUCCGCUUCUUUGCAAGAUCUUAGGCAUUAGUAAUUUUGAUCUUCUUGGAUCUUUUAGUGAAGUGAAAUGGUUGGGUAAUCUAUACAUUAUCUUAUUCUACAAUGCAGUCUUUGCUGUCAGUGCAAGUCUAUGUCUAUUUAACAAAUUUACAGCUCGCGUCAGACAAGAAAUUUUCCGAAGGUUAUCCUUAUAUUUCUCCACCUUUAUCGAAAGAAAGGGUCUAUCUGUUGUCACUACUCCCGUUACGGCUGUGGCUUAUGGAAGUCUCAAAACUGAAUAGAUUGCAAUAUAUCGACUUAUUAAAUGAAAGUUCAAAACUCUACUUUAGGCACAUUAUGAUAAUAAUUAUUCAAAACUACAAUUUGUUUUAUUUCAACUGCCACUUGAAGGUGGAUGGGGGAGGAAGAGGUCUUCCUUCCCGUCUUUCUUUUUUUUUUCAAUAUUAAAUUGGAUUAUUUUUUUGUUUUUUAUAUAUCAAUGCAAUUAUGUCAAAUUCAUCUUUAAUUAUUACUAUUUAGAAUUACUAAGAAAUUUGCUACGUUGCUCUCAUCUUUAUUUAUAACGUACCAAUGAUGUCUUUUUUAUUUAUUUAAGUCAAUCAAGUAUUAAGUAUUUAUAAGCAAAACAGAAUUUAACUUAUUGAUAUUAUAUAUAUAGAUAUAAUACAUAUAAUAAUGAAUUAUCUCCUUCAACAACAAGCGCAAUUUUUUCCCACUGAAAAUAUUUCCUUUAUUUUUGUAGUUUUCAUUGUAAUAUACAUAAAUACAUUCAAAUUUCUUAUGUUCUCUA